AUUGAACGCUGGCGGCAGGCCUAACACAUGCAAGUCGAACGGUAACAGGAAGCAGCUUGCUGCUUUGCUGACGAGUGGCGGACGGGUGAGUAAUGUCUGGGAAACUGCCUGAUGGAGGGGGAUAACUACUGGAAACGGUAGCUAAUACCGCAUAACGUCGCAAGACCAAAGAGGGGGACCUUCGGGCCUCUUGCCAUCGGAUGUGCCCAGAUGGGAUUAGCUAGUAGGUGGGGUAACGGCUCACCUAGGCGACGAUCCCUAGCUGGUCUGAGAGGAUGACCAGCCACACUGGAACUGAGACACGGUCCAGGCUCCUACGGGAGGCAGCAGUGGGGAAUAUUGCACAAUGGGCGCAAGCCUGAUGCAGCCAUGCCGCGUGUAUGAAGAAGGCCUUCGGGUUGUAAAGUACUUUCAGCGGGGAGGAAGGGAGUAAAGUUAAUACCUUUGCUCAUUGACGUUACCCGCAGAAGAAGCACCGGCUAACUCCGUG
rnacentral:rRNA from 1 species